GGGGAGAGAGGGUAGCUUCUUUAAUGAGCUCUCCUGUUCUGCUAAGGAAGGGCAAACUCCAUUCGUUUGAGCCCCGAAAGUACCACAUACCAAGUGGGGUGGGUAAGAGAGUAAUGGACAUGGAAGACCCUUGCCGUGGCUGAAGUGGCUCCUGAGCAGACGAGAGGAUCUAGAAAAUGACAGGCUCUAUCCGCUGCUGCACUGCUUGGCAUGGGCCAGCCUGGCUCCCAUUUACACCUCAAAGCCAAGUCACAUAGGGAAUCUAUCUCUUUCCUACCUGUCUACAUAGGAGGCAGCCAUGGGGGACUUUGGGGGGACUUUGUCCACCAAGUGAUUAAAGCGUGCAAAUGGUUCUGAAUCAAAGGUAAUCAAAAGAAGAUGGCAGUCCCCAAGAUGAGGCGUCUGUGACAGCCCGUCAGCUGCUGAGCCACCCGACAGGCCUGGUGGCAGUGCGGAGGCUGCCAAGAGAACCGCCUGAGGAGGCUGCCACCAAGACAGAUGUCACCGUGAGGAGAGCGAGCUUCCGUCGCUUUCGGCAGGGCCUGAUGGAGCAGGAAGUGGUAGUACAUGUGCCACUUAAGAGAAUAAUACUACUAAUAAAACAGGGCUGUGCAGGAGGGGGGUAACUGGAGAGAGAGAGGCUGGUGAGACAGGGAGGAAAAAUGGGAAGAUCUGUCAAGAUGUUUAGUGGGAAGGAAGUGAAUUAAUGACCUUCCCGAAAUGAAUGAGUGAGUGAGUGAGAGAGAGAGAGAGAGAGAGAGAGAGAGAGCGCAUGUGUGCACAAAUGCACACAGAGAGGUGGCUCGGCUCUCUAGGAAGGCACCUAGGGAUCAUAGAAGACAUAGUUUUCAAGAGGCUCUGUUUCUCCUUUUAUUCUUUUUAGGAAUUGACCUUCUAUUUGCUGGCUGACAAGUGUAGUCUGCAGGUCUGAGUGUGGUGCAUGUGGAGCCUGAGAGGACGGAAAUCCUCUUUCAUGCAGUAGGAGCCGGUGUACAGUACAUGAAAGCCCAUAUUACAAUGGACCCUAGGAGCACUGCGCAAACAUCAGUGUACCGAGGUCCUCCAUGAUCACCACAUGGUAGUCAUGGAGGCUGCAGGAACACAGACCAUGACGAGGGCUCCAGGGGAAAUUGAAAGCGCAGAGGGAAUUAAAAACCCGAAGCCUUUAAUUAUGAGACUGCACCGGACUCUCACCAGCCUCCGUGGAAACUCUUGAAACACAAACUUGACAGCUUUCAUAUGGUGCAGGAAGCAUACAGGUCUCAGCUUACUGUCAUCCAUCUCUAGAGGACGUUUUAUGUCAAGAGACAGUCACAACUUCAGUUCCUGACUAUGGGCCACCAGUAGCCCUGCCCACCCUGACACAUAUGGAGCUAUGCAGCCCUUCCAAGCCUCCCCUGGACCCCCAGGAUGGCCUGCUCUUUGCCCCUGUGGCAUCUUUAUGGUCAGAGCACCAUUUCUGCCUUGCCUUUUCUGUUUUCUCAUUUGUACAUAAGAUCAUCUUUCUCUUUUUUCCAUCUGCAAACUCUAGGGGGUCAAUUUUGAGCACAAGGCUCAAAGGCUCAGCCAUGGGACUCCCAUUACCAUUAAUGGCAAUGACUGUGCUCUGCUCCAGAGCAGGCAAACAUUUACCCCUCGGAUGAUGGUGCGUUGCGGUUGGCUUUUUAAUUGUAUUUACAAAUAAAACUGACUUAGAAACAGC